GCAAGAUUAAAACUCAAAGGAAUAGACGGGGACCCGCACAAGCGGUGGAGCAUGUGGUUUAAUUCGACGAUACGCGAAGAACCUUACCUGGCCUUGACAUAGAAAGAACUUUCCAGAGACGGAUUGGUGCUAGUUUACUAGAGCUUUCAUACAGGUGCUGCACGGCUGUCGUCAGCUCGUGUCGUGAGAUGUUGGGUUAAGUCCCGCAACGAGCGCAACCCUCGUGUUUAGUUACUAACAGUUCGGCUGAGGACUCUAGACAGACUGCCUGGGUAACCAGGAGGAAGGUGAGGACGACGUCAAGUCAUCAUGGCCCUUACGGCCAGGGCUACACACGUGCUACAAUGGGGUAUACAAAGAGCCGCAAUACCGUGAGGUGGAGCAAAUCUCAUAAAAUAUCUCCCAGUUCGGAUAGCAGUCUGCAACUCGACUGCUUGAAGUUGGAAUCGCUAGUAAUCGUGAAUCAGCAACGUCACGGUGAAUACGUUCCCGGGUCUUGUACUCACCGCCCGUCACACCAUGGGAAUUGAAUUCAUUCGAAGCGGGGAUGCUAAAAUAGCUACCUUCCACAGUGGAUUUAGUAACUAGGGUGAAGUCGUAACAAGGUA
rnacentral:rRNA from 1 species